rnacentral:rRNA from 1 species
AUGUGGGCAACGGAAGCGACGAUAUUGUGGUUGAUCUUAAGAAUCCAAGCAUUUCCAUCAAGGGCUUCACGCACUUUCCAAUUGUUACGCGUGGAGGACGGGCAAAACAUCACCACCAUCAGGCGCACGACACUUGUCAAAUCAGUCAUUGCCUCCCAGGCAGUGUAUGCCAUCACGCCCCUCAUCGUGCCACCACGCUCUCUUCACAAUAUCAACAAAUUGGAGAGGGCCUUUCUCUGGUCUGGUUCAGAUAAGACGACCGGUGCCAAAUGUAAAGUGAAUUGGAAGGUGGUAUGUCGCCCCAAGGAGUAUGGAGGCCUUGGGGUUCUAGACACUGAGAAGUUUUCUCGGGCCUUACGUCUUAGAUGGCCUUGGUAUGAAUGGAAGGCGCCGAACAAGCUUUGGGUGGGGCUUGGGAACCCCUGCACGGAGGAUGACAUGGACUUCUUCUAUGCCUCAACGACCAUCAUUUUGGGCAAUGGAGCCAAAACACCAUUUUGGGACUCCCCAUGGCUUCUUGGGCGGAAACCGAAGGACAUUGCUCCUUUAAUAUGUGAGUCCACUUUUAGCAUUCGAAUGAUUAAUAUAUUAGACAUAUGA